UUUAACAUGGAGGUACUUUCUGUAUCUAUACGCAAUAAGUGCUUCCCUGUUCUAGG
rnacentral:pre_miRNA from 1 species